rnacentral:rRNA from 1 species
GACGAACGCUGGCGGCGUGCUUAACACAUGCCAGUCGAACGGAAAGGCCCUGCUUUUGUGGGGUGCUCGAGUGGCGAACGGGUGAGUAACACGUGAGUAACCUGCCCUUGACUUUGGGAUAACUUCAGGAAACUGGGGCUAAUACCGGAUAGGAGCUCCUGCUGCAUGGUGGGGGUUGGAAAGUUUCGGCGGUUGGGGAUGGACUCGCGGCUUAUCAGCUUGUUGGUGGGGUAGUGGCUUACCAAGGCUUUGACGGGUAGCCGGCCUGAGAGGGUGACCGGCCACAUUGGGACUGAGAUACGGCCCAGACUCCUACGGGAGGCAGCAGUGGGGAAUAUUGCACAAUGGGCGGAAGCCUGAUGCAGCAACGCCGCGUGCGGGAUGACGGUCUUCGGGUUGUAAACCGCUUUCGCCUGUGACGAAGCGUGAGUGACGGUAAUGGGUAAAGAAGCACCGGCUAACUACGUG